rnacentral:rRNA from 1 species
ACGGGAGGCAGCAGUGGGGAAUAUUGCACAAUGGGGGAAACCCUGAUGCAGCGACGCCGCGUGAGUGAAGAAGUAUUUCGGUAUGUAAAGCUCUAUCAGCAGGGAAGAAAAUGACGGUACCUGACUAGGAAGCACCGGCUAAAUACGUGCCAGCAGCCGCGGUAAUACGUAUGGUGCAAGCGUUAUCCGGAUUUACUGGGUGUAAAGGGAGCGUAGACGGCGAGGCAAGUCUGAAGUGAAAUGCGGGGGCUCAACCCCUGAACUGCUUUGGAAACUGUUUUGCUAGAGUGCAGGAGAGGUAAGUGGAAUUCCUAGUGUAGCGGUGAAAUGCGUAGAUAUUAGGAGGAACACCGGCGGCGAAGGCGGCUUACUGGACUGUAACUGACGUUGAGGCUCGAAAGCGUGGGGAGCAAACAGGAUUAGAUACCCUGGUA